CAUGGUGUUUUCCCUUGGGCCUCACUACAUAUGUCCUCCCAAAUUCAAAUGUGAUUCUAGAAGUUCUACUUCCUGCAAUGUUGUUUCACUAAGUUAUUACUCCACUAGCAAAUGCUUGAAGUAAGAAAGAGAUUUAGCAAAUACUAACAGAAAUUGUAGCUAUUCUUCCGUUUUAAAUUUCGAAAUUAAAACAUGGGAUUUUCAGGGUAGAAUCUAAAAUAUGCUUAAAUUUUUUUCUAU
rnacentral:lncRNA from 1 species